GGGGUCGUAGUUCAGUUUGGUUAGAACGCCUGCCUGUCACGCAGGAGGUCGCCGGUUCGAGUCCGGUCGGCCCCGCCA
rnacentral:tRNA from 1 species